GGACUUUUUGCCCGCAGAAGGUUUUCUAAGAGUAGCGGUCUCUUUUGAUUGUUGCUUGGGUAGUCAGCUCUGCUGUUCAGCCCCCUUCUGGGCUCUUUUUUUUCGUCGUGAAGCCAUGGCCAUUUACUUGGUUUUUCAUGUGCUGAACGGCGUCAUUUACUGUGAAAAAAUCAGGGUGUUCAAAGCAGGCGAGUACGCUUGAAUACAUCAGCAUGGAAUAAUGCAAUACGACCGCUAGGCCGGAUUGGUUGGUAAAAUUACUUUUGUUUGGCAAAGUGGUAAUGAUUGAUAGAGACGGUUGGGGGCACUCGUAUCGCGGUGGGAAUGGUGAAAUAUAAUGAUCUCCGCGAGACGAACAACUGCGAAAGCAUUUGCCAAGGACGUACUCUUUGAUCAAGAGCGAAGGUCAGGGGAGCAAAGGAGCUUAGAUAUCUCUGUAGUCCUGCACCGUAAACGAUAUCGACUCAGGAUCGGCAGACGUUUAAAAUUUUAAAAUGACUCUGUCGGCACUGUAAGAGAAGUCAAAGUUUUUGGAUUCUGGGGGGAGUAUGGACGCAAGUCUGGAACUUAAAAGAAUUGACGGAAGGGCACACCAAGAGUGGAGCCUGCGGCUUAAUUUGACUCAACACGGGGAAACUUUCCAGGGCAGGACAUUUGUGAGGAUUGACGGCUUGAGAGGGCUUUCUUGAUUCGAUGAUAGGUGGUGCACGGCCGCUUGUGGUUGGUGGAGUGAUCUGUCUGGUUAAUUCCGGUAACGAACGAGACGCCCGCCUGCUAAAUAGUCUCGCACUCAACUUUGUUUUGGGUGUAUCCAUUUCGUAGACUUCUUAGAGGGACGGCGAGCUUUUAAACUCGCGGAAGUUGGGCUCAAAUGCAGGUCUGUUAUGCCCUUAGAUGUUCUGGGCGGCACGCGCGCUACAAUGACCAGUGCAACAAGUUGUAUGAAAACUUUGUUUUUCGAGACUCCUUGACAGAAAUGUCUGGGCAAUCUUUGAACGCUGGUCGUGAUGGGGAUAGAUGCUUGCAAUUAUUCAUCUUCAACGAGGAAUUCUUAGUAGACUCGCGUCAUCAACGCGAAUCGACUACGUCCCUGCCCUUUGUACACACCGCCCGUCGCACAUACCGAUUGAACGGUCCGGUGAAGCCCUCGGAUUGUCGCACAUAUGCAAAGAAUCGUCUUUUGGCGAGUCGGAGCCGUGCAGCGAGAAGUUGGCUAAACCUUAUCG
rnacentral:rRNA from 1 species